rnacentral:lncRNA from 1 species
CCAUCUAAUGAUUCAUUCUAACUCUUCUGAACAGAGGAUAAAAAUAUGAGAAUGGACAUGAGAAGCCUAAAUCUACAGUGAAGAUGGCCUAAAGGUGUGGUGCGAGGAGAAAAGGUAGCAAAAUCAUCUGGGGUUGUGCUUGGGGAGCUGGUUGGGGCCUUGCCUCGAUCAGGACGUCAGAAUCUGUUGCUGCUGUUCAAAAUGACACAAGCAUGAUCAACUAUGAUAAAUAAUUGUGAAACG